UACGGGGGGAGCGAGCGUUGUUCGGAAUCACUGGGCGUAAAGGGCGUGUAGGCGGCUGGAUAAGUCAGAGGUGAAAUCCCAGGGCUUAACCUUGGAAUUGCCUUUGAUACUGUCCGACUAGAGGACGGAAGAGGAUAGUGGAAUUCCUGGUGUAGCGGUGAAAUGCGUAGAUAUCAGGAAGAACACCGGUGGGCGAAGGCGGGUCUCUGGGCCGAUACUGACGCUGGAGGAGCGAAAGCGUCGGGGAGCAAACAGG
rnacentral:rRNA from 1 species